CCCGGUCGUACUCAUAAC
rnacentral:snRNA from 1 species